CUGAAGGGCCGCCGCUCCCACGGGGGACGCUUCAUCCUGAGGGGAAGUCCCGGCCCCGAGGGGACGUCCUGUCACUGACGGGGGGGGCGUCUUGCCUCCAGGGCCGCGCGCGUUUCUGCCGAGAACUGAAAUCUCCGCUCCCGCUCUGAGGGCGGCCAAAGCAGCCGGACCCACGAUCAAAAGGAGACAUGCCUCGGUUGCCUCCUGGCAGCCGUGGCUCCUCGACCGACCGCCGCCUGCGUUUUAGCCCUUCAGCCUUAGGCCACGAGUAAAAAGCUGCUCCGGCGUGAGCUCAGGGGUGUGUGGUGGGGUAACGCAGCUUCUGAUGGCGCGCGGUCACAUCCCUGCUGUGACAGAGAUGGCCCAGGCAAAGUUUAGCAGAGAGCGUAUCUGCUCUCUGGUUCAUCUGCUGGUUACUACUGAGCUGCCCAGACCAGUGGAGAAAAUGCUUUGAUGUUAAUGAGCUGCAGACAAUUUCACUUAACACCGAGCAGAGCCUGGCAUCUCAGAGAACAAAUAAAUAAAGAAAUAUAAAGGAAUGUGGAAUCAUACAGCAGGCUGUGAUUGGGCCGAAGGGAGAACACGGCAGCUUGGAGAGACUUUGAGAAGAUAAACUAACCUUUGACAAGGCAUUCAGCUAAACGGCAAAAUUCACUCCCAAAAGUCCUCCCACCCCAGCAGAGUUGUGGGCCAUGCUUUGCACUGUGGAUACAACCCAAAAGCCAGCAUGGCAAAGGAGAGGAAACUGGCUGAUGAGAGGAAAGCACGGUGCAGCACGUGCUGCGAUCCACAGGCACAGGUGAGAAGGGAAAUGCUGUGGUUUACACUAUUGUGCGGGAGUCUGUGAACCACCAUGGGGUGGAUAAAGCAGCAACAAGAUCCCUGCUCCAGAGUUUCUUGUCCCACAUUGAAGCAGAUGCAUGGAGAAGGGCAGAAUGCUAUCUAGAAAGUAAAGGGGAUCUCUGUUGAGUUUAGGAUGGAUUUCAGUGCACAAGACAAUGUGCCACCAGUAACUGUAAUGUUUGUGUAAAUAAAAAAGAAUGGAUUUGGAAGGCGGGCUGAGGUUUCAGAGAGGCGUUUAUCCCCAUUGAAGAAACAGGCAAUCCGGGGGGUUGAACAGUCAGACUAGAAAAGGUCACCUUUGUAACAAAAGGAGGGGCAGAUGUAGCAAGGUGCACUUAUAACUGAUUCGUCUGAACUCAUAAGGUGCAGCAAAGUCAGCUUGUUGCUGUUUGGAGGGGAUAUGGGAACGUUCACUUGAAACUAGAACAGAGCUGGAAGCGCCCAGCUGCCUGCAGCAAACGCUGCCCGAGGUGGUUCCUUUGUAAGCAGAGGCUGUCUAAGGCUGUACCUCCAAACGUCUCAGAGUGGGUUUAGAAACAAGCAAAAUAAAUAAAUAAAUAAAUAAAUAAGCAGGCGGAGCAACUGGAGAAUAGUAGAUAAAACAAAUAAUUUACACACAGAUGCUCCUAAAAGCCAAACACGACGCAUUUUUCUGUGCUGUGUGCACCUAAAGCAUUUUGCAAGUACUGUUAGCAAAGCAAAGGAUGGGGCUAAGAAGGUCCGUUCUCCUUAAGCUGUUGCUGGGGCUGU